UCUUAAGACGGGCCCAUCCAAUCUUCUGACGCACAUGCCCAAUCUUAGAACGCGUGGAGAAGGCCAUUGAACAAGUAAAAUUUUAGACUAUAUAAGUUCUACAAUACCAUAAACUGUUGAAUUUUCUUCCUAAUUUAAAAAGCUGACAUAUUAUAUCAGCUACCAUGUGCUUUUGCUGUUCAUCUGUUGGCAGUGAAUGGAAAUCUAUGUCCUCGUUGUUAUCCAAGUUUGGAUCAUGUAUAAUAGAAGAUUUUCCUGUGGUUGGGAUGAUUGCAGAAGGAGGGCGCUGACCAAAGACCAAUUCAUACGGUGAUAUACCAGUAGCACUGUGGUUCUGAGUAUUGAUGGCAUCUAUUAUAAGAAAUACACAGUAUACAUGAGGUGCAACAAAAUUAAAUCUGCUCCAGUGGUCGAUGGCAUGUAAAAUAUAUUUGUAAUCACCAUCAGGCAAAUGCAUCAUGUCAAUGAGAUCAACCUGAAAGGAUAAAAACUUUGUAAAGUUAAGAAACAUUGAGGCUGAACGAAAAAAGUGUUUCUUAUGAACACUCGUGAAUGAAUUAAUCUACACUUUCUAUUACCUGUAAACGCUUCAUAAAACCAUUUGAUAUAAUUGGUUGUAAAGGAGGAGAUGUAAUUUGAUGUUGUUUUAAGUGACAUGUAGCACAUAGGCGAAUAAAUUCUUCGACGACGCAUCUUGGUAUUCCCCAAUAUAAAGAAGAUAUCUAAAAAAGUGUCAUCAAUGUCACAAAUAUUUUAAGCUUUUGUUAAAAAAAUUAUUUAAACAAAUACAUACCUUUGCCUGUGUUUUUUUUA